rnacentral:rRNA from 1 species
UACAGAGGGUGCAAGCGUUAAUCGGAAUUACUGGGCGUAAAGCGUGCGCAGGCGGUUUUGUAAGUCUGUCGUGAAAUCCCCGGGCUCAACCUGGGAAUUGCGAUGGAGACUGCAAGGCUAGAAUCUGGCAGAGGGGGGGUAGAAUUCCACGUGUAGCAGUGGAAAUGCGUAGAGAUGUGGAGGAACACCGAUGGCGAAGGCAGCCCCCUGGGUCAAGAUUGACGCUCAUGCACGAAAGCGUGGGGAGCAAACAGG